AAACGGUCGCAUUUCCUUCUUCCGCCGCCUGGUGCUUAGCGUCCAGCAAGGUCACUUUCAAAGCUUUUGUUCCCCGUUCUGUAUACAUACAUUGAAAAAGGGUGGUCAUAAAGAUGAGUGCCAACAGUGCCCGUAUCCUGAAGUGUCUUUCCUUGGAAGAAAUCAUCACCGACUGCGGGUACAAAUCCUCAUUUAUUUUAGUUUUAGGGGUGCCAACUUGGAAUAAAAUAUUCGGGUGGGGUGGGUCAGGUAAGCCCUGUCCCGCAUAAUCGAUCACAAGACAUGGCACAUGCGCACCAUUGGAAUGACAGUGCCCAUCAACUUUUUUGGGGGGGAGGGUUCUGACCCCCUCAAAUAUUUUAUUGGGGGGAGAGAAGGGACCUCGGCCCCUAGGAAUUGACUCCUGUGUUUUAGUUUGUAUGCUCAUCUCCAGGGAGAGGAGGGGGCUGUGUGAGGGAACACGCGCCCCCCCCACUUUUAUCUUUACAGCAACCCUGUGAGGUAGAUUAGGCUGAGAGAGAGUGUAAAAUGGGUUAUGGCCGGCCGCCACUGAUGGAUGGGGUUGGGCGAUGUGGCCUGCUAGGCAAUGAUUUGCUGGAGAAUCAGCCACGGGAAGAGUUAAGCAUUAGGAAUUGCAAUCUUCCCCCCUUAUCUUUCCCGGUCAUAAAAGGCUUAUAAAAAAGGGAGGAGCCUCCCCUCCUCUUCUUGGGUAGAUGGGGAUGGAAAAAGCUCUGCUGCCCCCUGGUCCUAGCCCAGCACUAGGCAAACAGAGACAGGUCUCUGCCCGCAAAGAGCUUACAUUCUAGAAUAAUUGAAGAGGGGAAGAAGUGUUGAAUGCAACUAUCCUCUCUACCGUUGGUGAACUCAACCCCAUGAACAUAAAAAAAAUGGCACUAUCCAGCAGAAAGGUGUCAACAGACAGGUUUGCAGGAGUCCAUAAAAGCUUGAGGGACCCUUAAGGGGUGGACCCCAGAACAGAAUAAGGAGAGCUGAGUGUGCUCCUUGGUCACAAAAUGGUUUGAGGAGAUGAAAUGGCAGUCUCCUGAAAGAAGGCUUGGCUAGUGCUAGCAAGCUGGACCUCUUGAUAGGAGCACUCUUCACAAGUUUUGUUUGUUGCAGGUCCCCACUUGUGUGUACUGUUUUCCAUUUAAAACGAAUGUAGCUGAUGUGUAAAAAGGAAUUAUAAUCUGAACAUGGAGACGAUGUAUGUACUUCUGUAACCCAA